rnacentral:rRNA from 1 species
AUACGGAGGGUGCAAGCGUUAAUCGGAAUUACUGGGCGUAAAGGGCAGGUAGGUGGUCUGUUAAGUCUUCUGCGAAAAUCCGGGGCUCAACCCCGCGAAAUGCAGGUGAAACUGGCAGACUUGAGACCGGUAGAGGCUAGCGGAAUUCCUGGUGUAGCGGUGGAAUGCGUAGAUAUCAGGAAGAACACCUGUGGCGAAGGCGGCUAGCUGGGCCGGUUCUGACACUGAACUGCGAAAGCGUGGGGAGCAAACAGGAUUAGAAACCCCGGUAGUCC